UGAAAAUAGUCUGGUGAAAGAGCAAGGCCUUUCAGAAUACAAGCACAUAACCUUGCUUCAUGAAAAACAAGUGCAUUCAUGAUACCUAAGACUGCCUUGCUACAUUCCCCCAGUGACUAAUGUAUCUUUUUUUUUUCUUUAUCUCGUAGCAUUAGUCUGUCUGUCAUUGAUGAAAACACCCGCACUACAUGUAUUACGUUAUUUCAUUAGUCUCAAGUCGCUAUUUCAAGUCUAUAUAAGCCUCAAUAAAUACGAGAGCUGUGGUGGUGGUCUGCUUCCCGUCUGCCAAUCAGAGCGUUCUAUUUUUCCGUUUUCUUUCGUAUUCUUCGUAAAGCUCACGCAUCCUUCAUUUGUCGUUACUUCUUGCCUCACAGAGUAUUGGUAAGUGUCUUCUACUGGUAAUAAUAACCGUGAUUCUAUUAUUUUGUAUCAUUACAAGUAGUAUUGCGAGAGUGGCUCCGUUCUUAGUGACAAUUACCUCAGCACAGCCUUCACCAAUCAGCGCCAAGUAUUCAAGUCACGUGAUACUCUCUCCUCGCCGUCUCCUCAGCCAUUCGCCCUGCGCCCGCUGACGUGACGAGUCCCCGGUUGUGUUACGGCGGUGAAGCGGUGUUGCGUCUGUCCCUGGCGGGCAUGUUGUGGUGGACUGCGGUGUGGAGGGAGAGGUGGAUGUGAGUAUGGCCUGGUGGUGGAUAGGGAGGAGUGGAUAGUGGAAGAGAGAUGUGGAGAGUAGGAUGGUGGAAGGGGGAGGUGGAGGUGGCUAUGGCGGACGUGACUGGGUUGAGGUGGUGGUUGUGGUGGUGUUUGGUAUGGUUGGAAUGGUUGUAGAGGGUGUUGGUAGUGAUGGUGAACGUGACUGGCUUAUGUUAAAGGUGGUUGUGGUUGUUGGGGAUGGUGGUGGUUGUGUGACAGUGGUGGGUGCAGCGGACGCAACGAUGUUGUGGUUGUUGGGUGUGGUUGAGGAUUGCGAUGGUGGUGGUGGUGGAGGUGGUAGGUGGCGGUGGUCGUAGUCGGAGCGGGCUAAGCGGUGGUGGUGGUGGUGUAAAAAGGUGUUUAUCGGACGGAGUGGAAGUGGUGGUGGUGGCGGUGAUACGAUUAUCAGGGAUGAGAGAGAGAGAGAGAGAGAGAGAGAGAGAGAGUGUGUGUGUGUGUGUGUGUGUGUACUCCUAUAAUCAGCAAAUUGCAGUCACUCGUUCGCUGUUUCACCUCCCUGUUUCAGGCCUUCUCUCCCCUUCCCUUCCUCCUCGCUCCCUUCCUAGCCUGCCCGCCACCCUCUCCCCGCUUUUCCCUGCCUGUCCUCCCCUGCUCCUCGUGUCCCAGGUGACCCAUGAACUACCUCUAACAAUGGUGAUGAAGAACCAGAAGUGGGUUGUAGGUGACGAGAUAACUAUCCCAGGUCAUCCCGGAAGUGGCGAGGUGACCCCAUACAGCUCCACAAGGUCGUGGAGGACGCCAGAUAUAGCCACGUGGUCGCCUACACUCAGCCAUCCACCUCACCUGCCCCAGACUGCUACCCGGACACCAUCCAGCCACAAGAACCCAGAUAAGCACUUCCGGGGUCCUUGGUUGUGGUUAGCUAGCUAGUUUGUUUAGGGGUCACUUGCUGUACAUAGGAACCCUCCUCGGUCUGCUGCUAUUUUUUUUAUUUUUAUUUUUGAGGUGUAACGCUGUCCUCUACGUGAGAGUGAUAGUGUUUAUCUUUAUUUAUUUAUUUUUUUUUCCUGAAGACCAGUUCUGAGGUUAUCUUGGAGGUUAACGGAGAAGAGUUCUUCACACCUGUGUUUGUUGUUUUAUUUUAUUUUUUUAUUGGUCACUUUUUGUUUUUUGUUGUGAUUGUUAUUAAUUUUAUUUAUUUGUAUUGAAAUAUGUGAGUGUGAAUGCAGCACAAUAUAUAAAGGUGUGCAUUCCAGAGUGAAAGGAAGGCGUGCCUAUUUAAUCACCAGAUUUUGAUUGAUUGAAGCAAAUGAAAACUUUGGUGUGAGUACCUUACAAAGACACUUGACAAUACUAAUGUCACCUCACCUCGUGGUUUCACCUUAAACCUACAAACAUUGGCUGGACACAAGGUCAUAGAAAUAAUUUAUUCUCAUUUAUUCUCAUCUUUACAAAUUACAGUCUUUACACAUCAAAGUAACUAAUCACCUUUAUUCAUCCACUUGAGGGGGUUGAAGGAUCGCUAGUCCCAUAUUAAAUUGCCUGUGUUCAACUCGCCUCUCCUCCCUCAUUUACUGACCAAUUCAUUUAAAAAAUAUUUUGAUCAGGAAGGUUGCAAGAAGAAUGUCUGCUAUCUUUUUUUUUUUUGUACGGUAAGAUUUUUUUUUUUCGAUGAAAAAGUAAAAAAAAAAAACUGAGUGUCAAAUAUUUACUUUCAAAAAUUUGUCAGAAAUCAAAAUCAGUUACAAACAAAAAUGACGACAGCAGACUUUGUUCGCCUCUCACAGCUUGAUAAGCCGCAAUGGCCCAUCUGUGUGUAACACCAAUAACAACGGAGAUAAUUUUUAUAUGCAAAAAUCCGCCAUUUUAAGUUAUGUCAAAGUUUAAGGGGUGACUAUAAUACACCUAUUGCAGCUAAGGACUUGAAAUUCACAUGAUAUAUACAUCACAAUAUGUUGAAAAACAGAUAUAGAUUAAUUUAGUUACUACGAUUGGUUUUGUACAUAGGCCUAAAGUAAUUCAUGAUUUCACCCUUAAUUACCCGGGGGGGAGGGGGGAAGGCGGGUGAAAACAAUUUUUGUUAUAUUUCGACUUUUAGAUCAAAACCAGUGUUUAACUGUUUGAAAUAAAUAAAAUAUUAAUGCAAAAGAUAUCUAAUGCAGACACAUUGACUAUUUCCUAGAUUUACGGAAAAAUAUUUAUCUUAUUUUUCGUAUAUAAAUUUGAAAAAAAUAGUUAGACCUAAAAUUACGUACUCUCUAAUGUUGUACGCAGCAAAAGAACCGUAGAUAUUCAUAGGAGACUGAGGAAGAACGGGUACGCCAGAAAGAAAAAAAAAAAAAAAGUCAUGUCUCGCAGCGGGCGAAACCGUGAAAUUUCAUAACAGAA